AGAGUUCAUCCUGGCUCAGAACGAACGCUGGCGGCAGGCCUAACACAUGCAAGUCGAGCGAGAUCUUCGGAUCUAGCGGCGGACGGGUUAGUAACGCGUGGGAAUAUACCCUUUGGUACGGAAUAGCCCUGGGAAACUGGGAGUAAUACCGUAUGUGCCCUUCGGGGGAAAGAUUUAUCGCCAAAGGAUUAGCCCGCGUUGGAUUAGAUAGUUGGUGGGGUAAUGGCCUACCAAGUCGACGAUCCAUAGCUGGUUUGAGAGGAUGAUCAGCAACACUGGGACUGAGACACGGCCCAGACUCCUACGGGAGGCAGCAGUGGGGAAUCUUAGACAAUGGGCGCAAGCCUGAUCUAGCCAUGCCGCGUGGACGAUGAAGGCCUUAGGGUUGUAAAGUCCUUUCAGCUGGGAAGAUAAUGACGGUACCAGCAGAAGAAGCCCCGGCUAACUCCGUGCCAGCAGCCGCGGUAAUACGGAGGGGGCUAGCGUUGUUCGGAAUUACUGGGCGUAAAGCGCACGUAGGCGGAUUAUUAAGUGAGGGGUGAAAUCCCAGGGCUCAACCCUGGAACUGCCUCUCAUACUGGUAGUCUUGAGUUCGAAGAGAGGUGAGUGGAAUUCCGAGUGUACAGGUGACAUUCGUAGAUAUUCGGAGGAACACCAGUGGCGACAGGGCUCACUGGCUCGAUACUGACGCUGAGGUGGGAAAGCGUGGGGAGCCAACAGGAUUAGAUACCCUGGUAGUACACGCCGUAAACGAUGAUGCCCGUCGUCGGGUAGCAUGCUAUUCGGGGACAACCUAACGGAUAACCAUCCCGCCGGGGAAUACGGUCGAAGAUACAAUCUCCAGGAUGGCGGCGGCCGCACAGCGGUGAGCUGUGGGUACUCGAAGCACCACAGAACUAACAA
rnacentral:rRNA from 1 species